rnacentral:rRNA from 1 species
GACGAACGCUGGCGGCGUGCUUAACACAUGCAAGUCGAACGGAAAGGCCCUGCUUUUGUGGGGUGCUCGAGUGGCGAACGGGUGAGUAACACGUGAGUAACCUGCCCUUGACUUUGGGAUAACUUCAGGAAACUGGGGCUAAUACCGGAUAGGAGCUCCUGCUGCAUGGUGGGGGUUGGAAAGUUUCGGCGGUUGGGGAUGGACUCGCGGCUUAUCAGCUUGUUGGUGGGGUAGUGGCUUACCAAGGCUUUGACGGGUAGCCGGCCUGAGAGGGUGACCGGCCACAUUGGGACUGAGAUACGGCCCGGACUCCUACGGGAGGCAGGAGUGGGGAAUAUUGCACAAUGGGCGGAAGCCGGAUGCAGCAACGCCGCGUGCGGGAUGACGGCCUUCGGGUUGUAAACCGCUUUCGCCUGUGACGAAGCGUGAGUGACGGUAAUGGGUAAAGAAGCACCGGCUAACUACGU